rnacentral:rRNA from 1 species
UACCAGCUCCUCGAGUGGUCGGGACGAUUAUUGGGCCUAAAGCAUCCGUAGCCUGUUCUGUAGGUCUCCUGUUAAAUUCAACCGCUCAACGGUUGGGCCGCAGGAGAUACCGCAGGACUAGGAGGCGAGAGAGGCGGACGGUACUCCGCAGGUAGGGGUAAAAUCCUUUGAUCUGCGGAAGACCACCAGUGGCGAAGGCGGUCCGCCAGAACGCGCUCGACGGUGAGGGAUGAAAGCUGGGGGAGCGAACCGG